rnacentral:misc_RNA from 1 species
ACGAGUUUUAAUUGUUAGGUUAGAGUUGAGCUGGUUAAUCUAAUUAAUAUGUGCUUACUCUAAUCGAAACAAGUCCACUCAUUACUUAACACUUGUGAACUUAUUCAUUACAAACAUUAUUAUUAUUUUAUUUUAUUUUUUUUGUUUUAUUUUGGUUUGGAACGUUUGAUUAUUAAAAAGUUAAUA